rnacentral:lncRNA from 1 species
CGCACCAGAGGGCCUUGGCCGCGGGCAUCAUCCCCGACCUUUCCCGGGUCCCCUCCCCCGGCUCCCGAGGCACCGCAGCCGCCGGGAGGCCGGGAUGCCCAUCCUCCCCCUGGGGCCCCGGCAGCGGGCAAAGGAGGCAGGCCCGCAGGCCCAGAGGACCAACGAGCCCAACCGUCCCUGGCCCGGCCCCGGCGGCUCGCCCGCCCCCCAGACUCCCGCCCGCUCCAGACAGUACCUGCCGAGGCUGCGGGAGGGCGGCGGCGGCGCCGGCGGGAGCGGCCCACAGCUCAGGCUAGCGGGCGGCCUCUCGCUCCGACCGAGACCCCCGUCCCGCUGCCGAGCGCCCGACCGGCCCUGGCCUGCGCCUUACGUAAACCGGCGGCGGCGGCAGCGGCGGCGGCGGCGGCAGCGGCGGCGGUGACUCCGGCGGCUGCUCCCAGCGCCACUAGGCGGAGGGGAGGGGAAGGGAGGGGGCAAGGGAAGAGGGAGGGGGACGGGGAAGCCUCUCCGCUCGGUUACCCGGCAACUGGCCUCAGCGCCCCGCCAACCAGGUUAUAUUCCCUGCAAAAUGAGGAUAAAAUGACCAUGUACUUCCCAGAAAAUGAAGGAAUUGGACCAAGUUGCUAUGGUCUCCUACAGCUCUGCAAUUCUACAUUCAACCAUCUGGGUAUAAAACUACACAGUGACCUGUACCUAGCUCAGUCCUUUGUACCAACUUAGUAGAUGCUUAAUAUAUACUGGAAUUGAAUUGAAAGAAAAGAGAGGAGAAAAAGUAGGCACAAAGAAGCAAGAAAUCUGCAAACAACCCCAAGAAAAUCCAAAAUUCACUGCUGGAUUAAAUGUAAUACCACUUUUCUUUUAAAAAGUUCAAAGCAGCUAUUUAUAGUAUCUAAUUUAUCCUCAGCUCACACAGUGAACACUCAGCAGCUGACGACAGACUGACAAACUUACUUAUGAGGGAGGUGAAGAUUGUCUUGCUAUUCCCAUUUUGCAGAAAAAGAAAAACACUGAUAAUGACGCAAUCUGAUUUGCCUUUGAUCUUUCAAUUAAUGGCACAAAACUUCACAUAUGCUCAAAUUGGUGUGUGUGUGUGUGUGUCUGUGUGUGUAG